UAGGGAAUCUUCCGCAAUGGACGCACGUCUGACGGAGCAACGCCGCGUGAGUGAAGAAGGAUUUCGGUUCGUAAAACUCUGUUGUUAGAGAAGAACAGCGCAUAGAGUAACUGUUAUGCGUGUGACGGUAUCUAACCAGAAAGCCACGGCUAACUACGUGCCAGCAGCCGCGGUAAUACGUAGGUGGCAAGCGUUGUCCGGAUUUAUUGGGCGUAAAGCGAGCGCAGGCGGUCAAUUAAGUCUGAUGUGAAAGCCCCCGGCUCAACCGGGGAGGGUCAUUGGAAACUGGUUGACUUGAGUGCAGAAGAGGAGAGUGGAAUUCCAUGUGUAGCGGUGAAAUGCGUAGUUAUAUGGAGGAACACCAGUGGCGAAGGCGACUCUCUGGUCUGUAACUGACGCUGAGGCUCGAAAGCGUGGGUAGCAAACAGG
rnacentral:rRNA from 1 species